rnacentral:rRNA from 1 species
UAACACGUAGGAUUCAAACGUUAUCCGGAUUUACUGGGCGUAAAGCGCGUGCAGGCGGUUUGGUAAGUUGGAUGUGAAAGCUCCGGGCUCAACCCGGAGAGGUCGUUCAAUACUGCCAAACUAGAGGACGAUAGAGGAAGGUGGAAUUCCAGGUGUAGUGGUGAAAUGCGUAGAUAUCUGGAGGAACACCAGUGGCGAAAGCGGCCUUCUGGGUCGGUCCUGACGCUAAGACGCGAAAGCUAGGGUAGCAAACGGGAUUAGAAACCCCGGUAGUCCUAGCCGUAAACGAUGUGAACUUGGUGUUGGUGGGGUAAAAGCCAUCAGUGCCGUAGCUAACGCGAUAAGUUCACCGCCUGGGGACUACGGUCGCAAGAUUA